CCCAAGCCCCUCCCGAGGGAAGUCUCUAUAUGCAGAGCGUUAUACUUGUUCGAAGACCGC
rnacentral:misc_RNA from 1 species